GUGGUAUGUUGAAAAUAGUUAUAUUUGAGAUAAAAGACAACUUUUGUACAAGCCAAACAAUUGUUACAUAGUUGACAUUUUUAAAAUAGUAUUUUCAGCUGGUUAUCUAUAAAUGUCUUAUUAUUCUGUUUGUUUAGGUAUGUCAAGAUGCCCUGUUGACCCCUAAAGUAUGGAUAAUUUGAAUGUUUUGAUCGUGUGCCUUCCUGAAUUCGGAUGUAUUCAGAAAUGAGACCAGAUUGUCAAAUCGUUUCCAACCAUGAAAGUGCUACUUGCAGGUUUGAGGAUGCUGUUUCAAGGGAGCUAAUGUAAGUGCAUGAAGACACACCCAAAUCAAAUUCCAGUUCAACUUAUCAACCAAAGAUGUUAGUCUCAUAUCCUGUGUGCAUAUCCAAUUGAAAUGGGUCCACAUGAUCAGUAUCCUACAGGAGUACCUGAAGUUGUGAGUCCGAAUAACAGUAAUGGAAAUUUAUCCCACCAGACUAGAUGAUGCACUGGACACUUCUCUGAAUUUACUCAUUACAGUGGCAUCUAGGUCAAGAUAGAUGCAAUAUAUUUUGUGUGAG